rnacentral:rRNA from 1 species
UACGUAGGUGGCGAGCGUUGUCCGGAUUUAUUGGGCGUAAAGGGAGCGCAGGCGGUGACUUAAGUCUGAUGUGAAAGCCCACGGCUUAACCGUGGAGGGUCAUUGGAAACUGAGGGACUUGAGUACAGAAGAGGAGAGUGGAAUUCCACGUGUAGCGGUGAAAUGCGUAGAGAUGUGGAGGAACACCAGUGGCGAAGGCGACUCUCUGGUCUGUAACUGACGCUGAGGUGCGAAAGCGUGGGUAGCAAACAGGAUUAGAUACCCCCGUA